rnacentral:rRNA from 1 species
UACGUAGGGUGCAAGCGUUAAUCGGAAUUACUGGGCGUAAAGCGUGCGCAGGCGGUUAUGCAAGACAGAUGUGAAAGCCCCGGGCUCAACCUGGGAAUUGCAUUUGAGACUGAAUAGCUAGGGUGCGGAAGAGGGAAGCGGAAUUUCCGGUGUAGCGGUGAAAUGCGUAGAUAUCGGAAGGAACACCAGUGGCGAAAGCGGCUUCCUGGUCCAGCACCGACGUUCAGGCACGAAAGCGUGGGGAGCAAACAGG